CCCUGGAAGGAUCAGGUAUUUCCUCCCUUCUUUUGAAGCACUUACCAGACUGAUGGAAUUUUGCUGCCUAGGAGCAGAGACUGUCACUGAAGAUUUGGAGGUGGACAGUAGUGAAAUAGGCAAAUAAGUGAGUAAGUCCCACUGUGGCUGAGAGGAUGCGGGGGCAGGAUGGGUUACAUCACAGAGCAAAAGCUGUUUCAGCUAGACAGCAAUGUUGGUACCUAGUCAAAUGGCCAUAAUAAGUUGACAAUGGAAAAAUUUAAGAUCAAAAUAUGUAAGAUGAUAAUUAGGAGACUUCUAGCUAUCAGAGCAAGGAGAUUCUGAACAAGUAUCUAAAUGGGGAAAGAGAAGAACAGGAAGUGAAGUUACUUUAAAACAGAGCCUGAUAUGAAUAGGAUAAUAUAGCAUGACUGCCUUUGAUAAAAUGAAUUGGACCUAAGGAUCAGAAGACUGUAUUAGAGUCCCAUUAAUUUAUGUUUUCACUGUUUUUCUAGACAGUCUAUCUGAACUAGUCUGAAAUUGAUUACAGGGCAUGACACUGUGCUGGUGAGAACAAACUGCUCAUAGCAUACUCCUUUCCUGAUCAGCCAACUGUUUCUAAGUUGGCCACACCUCAGUUAAGCUAGUUACGCUUGCUGCUUUCACUUCUCCACAUUUUGUUUUUAACCAACUUCCCUUUCAGGUAAAUUCAGAUUUCAAAUACUGUUCAGAAAGAUUCCAGGUCCCAGCAAAUUACGCUCUAUCAUGAUAUAAUAUCUGGAUGAAGACAGACCUAGUAUGGAGGGACCUGUCAUCCCCCCGAACACAUUCUCCAAACUGAAGGUCUCUCCAGUCUAUUAAACUUAAUUGCCAUGUGGAGCUGUCAGUGAACCCAGGGUGUAAGUGAAGGCUGUUUGCAAGACCCAGCAAAGCUAUGCUAUCUGCAGAGCACCACAAAGGGAAGGACCCAGAUGCUAACAUCUUGUCACCCUGUUCCCAAUGGUUAGUGACAGCAAAAUGAAGCCCUUGACCUUGGAGGCCAAAGAGCAGAAGAAAGAUGCCUCUAAUGCAGACAAGCCAUCAAGAGAUGGAAAUGGGCAGAAUCAAGUCUUCAGCAGGAAGUUUUCCUGAUGCUUACCACUUCCAGAAAGCAUUUCCAACUCUGUUUUUAGGUAGGGCGCUUCGACUAUCUCCAAGUAAAAUUCCUCUAAAUAAUUUUAAGUAUAAAAUAAGAAAAUUAUGAGGACAAAUGAAUUAUCACUUUCCAAGGGACACUGGUGUAUAUCAAAGAAGCACUAUCAGGCUGGCAUUUAUGAAAUGCUGACUUAUAUCUGCAUCCCAGAAACAUGUAAUGGGAGUUUUAUGAAAGUUUUGCCCUCAGAAAUGAAGAAAAUAAAAAAACAUACACAACCAUCCAUUCAGGUCUUGUAAAUCUUACUUAUUCUAUCCACAGUGAUUACUACUCUCUCUUUCUGUUGGUGAUAUGACAGCCACUCAUUGCUGACUUUAGACUCAUCCACUGAUUUUAUAUAAAAUGGACAGAACAAUGGGUACCUGCCUUCUUGCCUAAAUAGCAAAAGCUCUGAAGGUUUUUACAAGUCAUCUGGUUUCAAGUCACGUCUGGUUCUUUUUUAACAGACAUUUUGUAAGGCCCUACGUCUUAAUUAUUUCAUCCCACGCUGCAUUAAACCUCUGAAUUGUCAGUGGCAAUGCUGAUGGUAAAUAAAUCAUCCUGCUGUCAAAGAAGGAAGAGAUUUACUCUCACGAGCAAGUGUUCAUUUAAUAACCAGGUCACACUCUCCAGCCAUGACUGCUCAAAUCCUUCAGGAAAGAUGUCUGUACAUCUCACAUGCUGACCCAAGGCCUGCCCUGACUAAUCAGAUAGGAGUCGCAAUCAUGCUACUGUGAGUGCUGUCCUCCUGUCAGGACAAGGUUCUUCACUACAGCCUUUGCUGAGUGGUUCUUCUUUCUCCUUCACUUCAGCUUAGACCACCUCUUCCACACCGGCUCUUACAACUGGCCACCACACAUGCAUGACAAGGUGAGGAGCCAGGCACACCACUAUGCAAUAACUCCUUGAGUAACAUGAAAUUCCUCCUUAAAGAAUAGAGUGGGUAGAGCACAUCUGGAUUUGCAGAUCCUGCCUAAAACACCUGAGAACUUGGCAGGGAUGAUGGAGGUUCAUUACACUGCAAAACUGAACUGCCAGUUCACAUUAAGCAAAUCUUCCAAAGACUGCAAAUUGAUUACCUAUUAAUGAAAAGCUCAUUGCGGAACGACGACAAAUGCAGACUAAAUAUUUUUAAGACUUUAAAGAGAGAUUCUGGCAGCCUUUCUGCUCCCCACACCAGCUGUCUCCAGAAGACAAUCACAGUGCAAGGCUGAGCAAUCACAGAACACUCCUGCUAAGGUUACUUUAUCUUCCUGAGCACAGACAUCAUGAUUCCUGCAUCCUCUGGAGCUCAGCAAAUAGGUUAACAAGUCAUAUGGGAAAAAAAGAAUGGAGCUGUUUGUAGGAUUCUAAGGGGGAAGAGGGAGAGUCAUUGUAAGUAGUGGGCUUGAAUGUUCUGUAAAACCCUUUAAUAAUUUCCUGCUAGCUUUCUGUUCUUGUUUUGAAUAUUAGCAAUCUCCAUAGUGAAAUACCACUUGGCAAAAUGAGCAGAGAAGUAAGGCAUGAAAACAAAGCUAAGGGAAGCAAAGCGACCUGUGGCCUGCCCUGCAGCACACAUCCAUUUACAGCAUUAGGGAUGCCAAUUUAAAUGCUAUUUGCCAAGACAUUUUAAAGUCUGCUUUCUGAGUGACACUGAGCUAAGUGUUUAUUUUAUAUUACAUGGAUAGUUUAACGCCUGUUUAAGAGCCAACAAGCACCUUAAAGUCCUGUGCUGGCAAAAAGUAUGUGUCUGCUGACUGCAUUUCGGGAAGGGGCCCCUCUGUCUCUCCUUGGCAACUUGCUGAGCAGCAAAGAAGCUGCUGACACGUCAGUGCGAACAAGCCAAUGUGUCAACUGUAAGCAGGAAUGCCUUGCUGUCCAAAUUCAGAAUUUUUCUUAACAGAGCACAAGUUACCUCUUUCUGACAGCAGUGUUGACCCUCUGUAGCAAUCUAGCAAGCCUAGUUUUACUUACUGUAAAUCAAAAGAAGUGUAUGCAAUGUCAGUUAAGAAACCAUAGGCAAAUUAGUGGGCUCAGGCAUGGAAGUACAUAGCAGCACAGGGUGUACUCCACCACUCAGACAAAGCAAAGAUGAGCCAUGAAGAAAAGAACUGGAACUCUGCAUCCAGCACAAGCAACACUUCCAACAGCAUACCUGACAGCCAUGUUCAACACUUCCAACAGCAUACCUGACAGCCAUGUUUAAAAUAACUGUUAUUAUGAAUCUUCAGCACCCAGGAUCAUGCACAGGAGUGACACAGGACUAACAGGUUGCAGUCCCACGCCUUAUCAACAACCUUCUGCAAGCCCUUGUACAUGCUACACAGGCCUGUAUUUUUGAAACAUUAUAUUUGUGUCCUGUUUGUCAUACUCAGGAUCUCCUUUUCAAGAGAGCUGAGAACCUAAUUCGUCCAUCCAUCUGAGCCUGAUUCAGAAACACUGCCUUUCCAUAAUUCAUAUGCCUUUCCAUAAUUCUGCACUUUCUCAAAAUGCUGUGGGGCUCAAUUGUGUGUAACAAAUUUCAGAUUAGAAAAGAAGAAUGUUAGUGAAGUGCACAGAAUACAAAAGUUUUAUUAUUUACAAAGCUGCACUGUAAACACAUAGAUCAAGGCAUACUGGAAUGUUUCUUAUUUAUAUCCACAAACAUACCAAAGCCUAACAAUGCUUCUAAUUAAGGUUCAAGUCAUGUCAAAUAAUUCAUUUUAAAUCCACUUCACUUCAUCUACUGCCUUCAUCUCUGACAGCCAAUGAGCUUUUGACAUAUUUUUGUCCAAGGAUAUGGGGGAUUCCAUCCGAAGAUAAACAAAACAACAUCAGGUGGCUGGAGACUGAACCAGAGGCUGAAGUCACUGGGAUGAAGAGACAAAAGAAUGAAAUAAAGCAAGAAACUGAUGUUGGAGGAGAGGGAAAAUAAAAGACAGGCACAGGAGAAGGACAGGCAACCACCACCUGUAAGGGAAAAAGAAGAAAAAGAAUUUAUCACAAAGUGCUUGAAGAGCACACGGCCAUGAAAGAGAAGGAGGGACUGGAAGUGACACAUGAUAAAGGAAAGAACCUGAUAAUGUUCAGGUAACUGCCUCAGCUUUGAGAACAGUGUCAGGGAGAAAAUUUUCAAAGGGAAAGCAGUCAAAAAAAAAAUCCUGGGAGGCAGAACAGAACAAAGCAAUACACAGAAAAUAGAUCAGAGGAAUGAAAAGCACAGGAACAGGUGAAAAGAGCAUAGUGCUAGAGGAGAAUUUGCAACGAAAGGGACAAGAAUGGAAAGAAUAUGGAAAUUAUGCUCAAUAGAAAAAAAACGUCUCAUAGGCAAGUAGCUGGCUUGUUUCCUGCAUCACUAUGAACAUUAGCAGAGAGUAGGCGUGUGUCUGAGACAGAAGUGCAUUUAUUUUCAAAACAGAUUUUCUUGGCAAGAAUUGAGAUCUAGACCUUGACUCACCAGUUAAUUUUAUAGUAGCCAUCAGGCCUCAGUAAAUCCAAAUCAUCAGGCCCCAACAGUGCAGUGAGUAGUGCAGAAGCACAGCCAUCCGUGCCGUGACUCUCACAGCCCCUGUGAUGUGGGCUGGAUUUUAAAUCAGUGGAAAUGAGACAGAAGACUCUGGACUUCAGAGCCAGUUAGUGAUCCACACAAUUCCUCCAAGGCAAGAAAAUUCAUGUAGGCAGAAGUACAUGAAACAGCAACCAUAUUUAACAAGCACAAGGCAAAUGUAGGAAAGGAAACACAGGGCAGGUUGAAAUUAUUUUCUUUUCAGUUACUGUAAUGAAAGUUAUGUGAAAAGCCAAAAAUCCAGACCUUAAACAGUUCAUGAUGUUUCAAGAACAUUAAAAUUAAAUGGACACCUUUACAGAACAUUAAUUAAGCUUUUCAAAUAACAUGUGAAUGAAAAUCUGGAGAUUCCAAAAUCUUUGAAAUAAAGGUUACUGAAAAUGCUUAUAUAGAAAUUUUAAAACUAAGGUACACUGCAAUUCAGCACAAGUAUUUAAUCCCAAGUUUAGUUUCUAUCAUAAUUAUUAUUACUGGGUUUUACAAUAUUGCAUAAGCAUCUUUAUUAUCAAGGACUGAAUGCAGUCUUUGGUUCUGAAUUCCCAUACACUGCGAACUUUUUGAAGCAUUUGUAACUCAACAACUGUACUUUUAGUGGAAGCAUUACAAAAGUUGCAGUAAUUCUCCUUCUUGCUUUUUUCAACUCCAAAGCCCAGAAGCCCUCUUACUACACGUGCAGAAAAAAUGAAAUGGCUCCAAAGACAUUAAGCCUAUGAAGAACCACUUAGAUACUUCUGAGUUUCAGGCUCCAGUCCUCAGCUGCAGGAGCAGGGAGGUCUGAUCUAGCUCUGCUACCUUUAGUUGACUCAGGCUUCAUAAACUGUAUAGAUCUAUACAGAGUAUAUACAGCCAUUGUGUAGACAAACCAUAGUACAGAUCCAAUCACUCUUGGAUAAACAGAAGUUACUUGACCAUACAGAAGUGUAGAUGGGGAAAGACAAACAAACACCUUGAUACUCCAGCAGUAGAAGAGUGAAAGUACCUGAGCCCUCAUGAGGGCAGAGUAGAGGGGAACAAUCACGUCCCUCUCCCUGCUGGCUACUCCUCUUUUAAUGCAGUUCAGGAUAUUGCUGGCCUUCCAGGCUGCAAGCAUAAACUGCUGGCUCAUGUCCAGCUUUUCAUUCAUUUGGACCCUCAAGUCCUUCGCAACAGGGCUGCUCACAGUCUGUUCUUCUCCCAGUCUGUAUUCAUAUCUGAGAUUGCCCAAACCCAAGUACAAUACCCUACACCUAGCCUUGUUGAAUAUCAUUCGAUUCUCAUGGGUCCACUUUUCAACCCUGUCCAGGUCCCUCUGGAUGGUGGUCUUUUCUUCUAUUUUGUCAACUGCACCACUCAGCUUGGUGCCAUCAAUAAAUGUGCUGAGAGUGCACUCAAUCCCACUGCCUAUGCCAUUGACAAAGAUGCUGAAGAGCAAGAUGGCCCCCUGGGGGACACCACUCUCCAGUCUCCACAUGGACAUUGAGCCACUGGUCAGAGCCUUCUUGCUGUGAUCAUCCAACCAAAUCUUUAUCCCCCAAAUAGACCACCCUUCAAAUCUCUCCAGUUUAGAGAUAAGGAUGUGGUGGGGAACCAUGUCAAAGUCCUUGCACAAGUCCAGGUAGACAACAUCAGUUGCCUCUGUCCACCAAUGCCAUCACCCCAUCAUUGAAGGCCACCAGACGGGUCAGGCACUACUUUCCCUUAGUGACACCGUGCUGGCUGUCUAAGAUCACCUCCUCAAAUAUCUAGCCAGAAGAGGUUGGCAAUAUGCAGAAAUACCACUGAAAGUGCAGGUGUCAGAAAGAUGACGAGGGGCCUGGAGCAUAUCAUUUAAGAGGAGCAGAUGAGAGCCCUGGGCCUGCAGAAAAGAAGGCUGAGGGGGGAUCUCAUCACUGUUCA